GAUUAGGUAUGGUGGGUAUUAAUGAAGGCGCUAUAUCUGCCGCCGAGGCCGCAUUUGGCGGCAUAAAGGAGAGUGGACUGGGUCGUGAGGGGUCCAGCCACGGAAUUGAAGAAUACACUGAUAUCAAAUAUCUUUGCUUCGGAAAUCUUUAAUCGGUAAAGAAAGAAAAAACAUUAACAUGAAGAUGCGCGACAAAAAUAUAAGAAACAGCAAAGAAGCAACACCGAGUAAAAAAGGGUGAAAAGCAACAACUACAAAGAUAAACCAACAAAACAACUUUAAACACACAACAACUGCAAUGAAACUAACAACAACAACAACGCCCUUGAAACUUAUCAACAACUUCAAACUGUAAUCCCUCUUGAUAUUUUCCAUUUAUAAGGGCUAAAGACUUGAUUUUAUGUGAUCUUCCAUUUAUAGAGGGGUAUGACCGGAUUAACAACCAAAUCUUUCAAACCGUUGUUGAGCACAAAUGCUGAAGUUAUCCUUAAGUUGCUUGUUUCCCAUUUUGGUUUCUCUAAAUAAGUUUAUAGGAAGAGAGAUAAAACUACAGUUUUAAAAAGAGAAAGAUGAUUUUUUUCAUGACGAUAUUUUUUCCGUCAUAUUAAGAUUUAAUGGUUACCGCUGUGAUUCGGGACUGCCACUUCAAAGUACGUUGACAGUUCCCUUUAAACUAUCCCUGCAAAUAUAAUUGUACGGCUCAUCCUCAUUACUAAUUGAUCAAUCUUGGAUAUCAAUUGCCCUACCCUUUAAGUUGUCUAGGAAACAUUUCUAUGAUCAAUGUUAAUCAUUUUAGAUUAUGCAAGCAAUAAGCAUUCACUGUAAUAGAUAUAAAAACUCGAUUAUUUUGUUCUUAAAGAGUUUUCUUAUUUUCCCUUUAAGUUAUCACUGCAAAACCUCAGAUUCUCCCAAUUACCAAUUGGUUAAUUUAUUGAGUAUCAAUUAUGCUACUCUUAAGCUUGUCAACAGAAAUUACAUGUUCUCCUCCAAAGUAUCAUUUUUUAUCUUUUUUAUUUAUGCAAUUGUUAUUCGCAAUGAAAAAUUUAAGCAAACACCGUUUUCUGAUUUUACUUUUAAGUAAUACUUGCAAAUCAAGUUUCACUUUAUUAUCUUAAUACAUUUUUUAAGUAGUAUACAUUCAUAUUUCAUUUUAAUGAAUGAACAGCAAAUAGAGAGAAGGUUGGUUAGUUUUUUUAAACAGAGGACGAUUUAUCGUAUGUGAACUGUUAAUUUUUUUGAAAACUUUUACAUUUUCCCCCAAGUUUUUUAUAUUUUUUUUUCAGGGCUGUUAAUACAUUGCUGUUAAACGUAUCGUUGCAAAUCAGACAUGCCACUCUAUGAAUGAAUUGACGCUGGAAACUAAGUCUAAAGUCCUUUAUAAUCUCUGAUCCUGAUUAAUAUCAUUGCAAUCUUUUCUUUAUAAUCUCUAAUCAUGAUUAAUAUCAUUGCAAUCUUCUCUUUAUAAUCUCUGAUCAUGAUUAAUAUCAUUGCAAUCUUCUCUUUAUAAUCUCUGAUCAUGAUUAAUAUCAUUGCAAUCUUCUCUUUAUAAUCUCUGAGCAUCAUUGCAAUCUUCUCUUUAUAAUCUCUGAUCAUGAUUAAUAUCAUUGCAAUCUUCUCUUUAUAAUCUCUUAUCAUGAUUAAUAUCAUUGCAAUUGUUACUUCUCAAAUCUAAUGUAGUCUCAUAUAGUCCUAUCCUAAUGUAGUCUCCUAUAGUCCUAUUCUAAUGUAGUCUCUUAUAGUCCUAUUCUAAUGUAGUCUCUUAUAGUCCUAUUCUAAUGUAUAAGCCUCCUGUAGUCCUUUUCUAAUGUAGUCUCUUAGUCAUAAAGUCCUAUAGCUAAGAAUUGUAAAAUUCAUUUAUGCUUGCUAAGUUUGCAUGCUGGGUUGGUUAAAAGGUAGUCCCUAUAUAUACUUUUCGCUUGUAUUUUCUGCAGAUGAAGAAUAGGGUUUCGCACAGUGUUACAACAUAUGUUCAUGUACUAUGUUUCUAUUUAUAAUUAUCUUUUAGAAUGUUCUCCGAUAACAGAGGCAUUUUUUAUGAUUAAUUUGCAUUCCAGGUUUUUUACAUCAUUGUUUUAUAAUUGUUAUUAACAUUAUUUGAUAUUAAAUAUUUACUUAGCAUCAAUA